ACUGAACGCUGGCGGCAUGCCUUACACAUGCAAGUCGAACGGCAGCACGGGUGCUUGCACCUGGUGGCGAGUGGCGAACGGGUGAGUAAUACAUCGGAACAUGUCCUGUAGUGGGGGAUAGCCCGGCGAAAGCCGGAUUAAUACCGCAUACGAUCCACGGAUGAAAGCGGGGGACCUUCGGGCCUCGCGCUAUAGGGUUGGCCGAUGGCUGAUUAGCUCGUUGGUGGGGUAAAGGCCUACCAAGGCGACGAUCAGUAGCUGGUCUGAGAGGACGACCAGCCACACUGGGACUGAGACACGGCCCAGACUCCUACGGGAGGCAGCAGUGGGGAAUUUUGGACAAUGGGCGAAAGCCUGAUCCAGCAAUGCCGCGUGUGUGAAGAAGGCCUUCGGGUUGUAAAGCACUUUUGUCCGGAAAGAAAUCCUUGGCUCUAAUACAGUCGGGGGAUGACGGUACCGGAAGAAUAAGCACCGGCUAACUACGUG
rnacentral:rRNA from 1 species